rnacentral:sRNA from 1 species
GCUGGGUGUAGUGGUGCACGCCUGUAAUCCCUGUAACUCUGGAGGCUGAGGCAGGAGGAUCACAAGUCCAAGGCUAGCUGCAGCAACUUAGCAAGGCCCUACCUCAA